AACGAACGCUGGCGGCGUGCUUAACACAUGCAAGUCGAACGUGAAAGGCUUCGGCCGAGUAAAGUGGGCGCACGGGUGAGUAACGCGUGGGUAAUCUGCCCUUGGGCGGGGGAUAACCUCUCGAAAGGGGGGCUAAUACCGCAUGAGACCACGGCUUUUCGGGGCUGUGGGAAAAGGUGGGUCGCAAGGCCUGCCACCUGAGGAUGAGCCCGCGUACCAUUAGGUUGUUGGUGGGGUAAUGGCCUACCAAGCCGAAGAUGGUUAGCUGGUCUGAGAGGACGAUCAGCCACACUGGGACUGAGACACGGCCCAGACUCCUACGGGAGGCAGCAGUGGGGAAUAUUGCGCAAUGGGGGAAACCCUGACGCAGCAACGCCGCGUGUGUGAAGAAGGCCUUCGGGUCGUAAAGCACUGUUGGGAGGAACGAGCCGCUCGUGGGGAAGUAUCUGCGAGCCCGACGGUACCUCCUGAGGAAGCACCGGCUAACUCCGUGCCAGCAGCCGCGGUAAUGUGUG
rnacentral:rRNA from 1 species